AUUGAACGCUGGCGGCAGGCCUAACACAUGCAAGUCGAACGGUAACAGAAAGAAGCUUGCUUCUUUGCUGACGAGUGGCGGACGGGUGAGUAAUGUCUGGGAAACUGCCUGAUGGAGGGGGAUAACUACUGGAAACGGUAGCUAAUACCGCAUAACGUCGCAAGACCAAAGAGGGGGACCUUCGGGCCUUUUGCCAUCGGAUGUGCCCAGAUGGGAUUAGCUAGUAGGUGGGGUAACGGCUCACCUAGGCGACGAUCCCUAGCUGGUCUGAGAGGAUGACCAGCCACACUGGAACUGAGACACGGUCCAGACUCCUACGGGAGGCAGCAGUGGGGAAUAUUGCACAAUGGGCGCAAGCCUGAUGCAGCCAUGCCGCGUGGAUGAAGAAGGCCUUCGGGUUGUAAAGUACUUUCAGCGGGGAGGAAGGGAGUAAAGUUAAUACCUUUGCUCAUUGACGUUACCCGCAGAAGAAGCACCGGCUAACUCCGUG
rnacentral:rRNA from 1 species